GAUGAACGCUAGCGACAGGCCUAACACAUGCAAGUCGAGGGGCAGCACGAGGUAGCAAUACUAGGGUGGCGACCGGCGGACGGGUGAGUAACACGUAUGCAACCUACCUGCAAGAGGGGAAUAACCCGUUGAAAAACGGACUAAUACCGCAUAACACUGUAGAACCGCAUGGUUUGACAGUUAAACAUUUAUGGCUUACAGAUGGGCAUGCGCAUGAUUAGCUAGUUGGUGAGGUAACGGCUCACCAAGGCAACGAUCAUUAGGGGUUCUGAGAGGAAGGUCCCCCCAACUGGUACUGAGACACGGACCAGACUCCUACGGGAGGCAGCAGUGAGGAAUAUUGGUCAAUGGGCGAGAGCCUGAACCAGCCAAGUCGCGUGAAGGAUGAAGGUUUUAUGAAUUGUAAACUUCUUUGCAGGGAAUAAAGUGUCCGACGUGUCGGAUUUUGAUGUACCCUGCGAAUAGGAUCGGCUAACUCCGUGCCAGCAGCCGCGGUAAAACG
rnacentral:rRNA from 1 species